GAUGAACGCUGGCGGCGUGCCUAAUACAUGCAAGUCGAGCGAACGGACGAGAAGCUUGCUUCUCUGAUGUUAGCGGCGGACGGGUGAGUAACACGUGGAUAACCUACCUAUAAGACUGGGAUAACUUCGGGAAACCGGAGCUAAUACCGGAUAAUAUUUUGAACCGCAUGGUUCAAAAGUGAAAGAUGGUCUUGCUGUCACUUAUAGAUGGAUCCGCGCUGCAUUAGCUAGUUGGUAAGGUAACGGCUUACCAAGGCAACGAUGCAUAGCCGACCUGAGAGGGGGAUCGGCCACACUGGAACUGAGACACGGUCCAGACUCCUACGGGAGGCAGCAGUAGGGAAUCUUCCGCAAUGGGCGAAAGCCUGACGGAGCAACGCCGCGUGAGUGAUGAAGGUCUUCGGAUCGUAAAACUCUGUUAUUAGGGAAGAACAUAUGUGUAAGUAACUGUGCACAUCUUGACGGUACCUAAUCAGAAAGCCACGGCUAACUACGUG
rnacentral:rRNA from 1 species